GCGGGCAUAGUUCAGCGGUAAAACGACUCUCUUCCAAGGAGUAGUUGCGGGUUCGACUCCCGCUGCCCGCUCCA
rnacentral:tRNA from 1 species